UACGUAGGGUGCGAGCGUUGUCCGGAAUUAUUGGGCGUAAAGGGCUCGUAGGCGGUUUGUCACGUCGGGAGUGAAAACUCGGGGCUUAACCCCGAGCCUGCUUCCGAUACGGGCUGACUAGAGGUAUGCAGGGGAGAACGGAAUUCCUGGUGUAGCGGUGAAAUGCGCAGAUAUCAGGAGGAACACCGGUGGCGAAGGCGGGACUCUGGGCCGAUACUGACGCUGAGGAGCGAAAGCGUGGGGAGCAAACAGG
rnacentral:rRNA from 1 species